rnacentral:rRNA from 1 species
UACGGCGAGUGAAGCGGCAAAAGCUCAAAUUUGAAAUCUGGUACCUUCGGUGCCCGAGUUGUAAUUUGGAGAGGGCAACUUUGGGGCCGUUCCUUGUCUAUGUUCCUUGGAACAGGACGUCAUARAGGGUGAGAAUCCCGUGUGGCGAGGAGUGCGGUUCUUUGUAAAGUGCCUUCSAAGAGUCGAGUUGUUUGGGAAUGCAGCUYUWAGUGGGUGGUAAAUUCCAUCUAAAGCUAAAUAUUGGCGAGAGACCGAUAGCGAACAAGUACAGUGAUGGAAAGAUGAAAAGAACUUUGAAAAGAGAGUGAAAAAGUACGUGAAAUUGUUGAAAGGGAAGGGCAUUUGAUCAGACAUGGUGUUUUGUGCCCUCUGCUCCUUGUGGGUAGGGGAAUCUCGCAUUUCACUGGGCCAGCAUCAGUUUUGGUGGCAGGAUAAAUCCAUAGGAAUGUAGCUUGCCUCGGUAAGUAUUAUAGCCUGUGGGAAUACUGCCAGCUGGGACUG